rnacentral:lncRNA from 1 species
UUAGGGAGCCCUCCGUGUCAUGUGGGAGAGAAUGCCACACCCCACCCACUGGUGAUACCAGAGAUUCCCAUCAUGGGACCACCUCACGUUUUCAGAGGCUGUGCACCUGCCCUUUGUACAGCCUGUCCAUCAACCAGCGCCUGCCCCUCUGAGCAAGUAGAUCAAGAGAACUAGAUGGAGACUUGAAAGGUCAAGUGACAUUAUUCCAGUUUGAUAGAGACUCAGUGUGGUGGCCUGCUUGAAGUCAAGGAAGCCACACCGUUUUCUGCUUUAUGAGCCCACCCAUCUUUGCCUCUACCCCCAAACGUGGUGUGGGGCCAAAGGUUGGGGGAGGCCCUGACUCAGCUCGUCCUCAUUUGUGACCCAGAUCUGCACCAAAAACAGCGCUGGGAACCACACCAACCAUCCCCACAUGGACUGUGUCAUCACAGGACGGCCCUGCUGCAUUGGCACCAAGGGCAGGUGUGAGAUCACCUCCCGGGAGUACUGUGACUUCAUGAGGGGCUACUUCCAUGAGGAGGCCACGCUCUGCUCUCAGGUGCACUGCAUGGAUGAUGUGUGUGGGCUCCUGCCUUUUCUCAACCCCGAGGUGCCUGACCAGUUCUACCGCCUGUGGCUAUCCCUCUUCCUGCACGCCGGGCAAGUGACACUGUGGGCCGGGUCGGGGGUCUCAGGGCCCUCAGGAUUGGCUGGCUGGGGGUGGCAGAAAGGUCACUUCCCUGCUGAAUGUCUCCCGACCCCCGCCUGCUACUGACUACAGGAUCUUGCACUGCCUGGUGUCCAUCUGCUUCCAGAUGACUGUCCUGCGGGACCUGGAGAAGCUGGCAGGCUGGCACCGCAUAGCCAUCAUCUACCUGCUGAGUGGUGUCACCGGCAACCUGGCCAGUGCCAUCUUCCUGCCAUACCGAGCAGAG